rnacentral:rRNA from 1 species
CUUCGGUGGCUGACGAGUGGCGAACGGGUGAGUAAUACAUCGGAACGUGCCCGAGAGUGGGGGAUAACGCAGCGAAAGCUGUGCUAAUACCGCAUACGAUCUACGGAUGAAAGCAGGGGACCGCAAGGCCUUGCGCUCAUGGAGCGGCCGAUGGCAGAUUAGGUAGUUGGUGGGAUAAAAGCUUACCAAGCCGACGAUCUGUAGCUGGUCUGAGAGGACGACCAGCCACACUGGGACUGAGACACGGCCCAGACUCCUACGGGAGGCAGCAGUGGGGAAUUUUGGACAAUGGGCGAAAGCCUGAUCCAGCCAUGCCGCGUGCAGGAUGAAGGCCUUCGGGUUGUAAACUGCUUUUGUACGGAACGAAAAGGUCUUUUCUAAUAAAGAAGGCUCAUGACGGUACCGUAAGAAUAAGCACCGGCUAACUACGUGCCAGCAGCCGCGGUAAUACGUAGGGUGCAAGCGUUAAUCGGAAUUACUGGGCGUAAAGCGUGCGCAGGCGGUUAUAUAAGACAGAUGUGAAAUCCCCGGGCUCAACCUGGGAACUGCAUUAGUGACUGUAUAGCUAGAGUGCGGCAGAGGGGGAUGGAAUUCCGCGUGUAGCAGUGAAAUGCGUAGAUAUGCGGAGGAACACCGAUGGCGAAGGCAAUCCCCUGGGCCUGCACUGACGCUCAUGCACGAAAGC